AUUGAACGCUGGCGGCAGGCCUAACACAUGCAAGUCGAGCGGAUGAAGGGAGCUUGCUCCUGGAUUCAGCGGCGGACGGGUGAGUAAUGCCUAGGAAUCUGCCUGGUAGUGGGGGAUAACGUCCGGAAACGGGCGCUAAUACCGCAUACGUCCUGAGGGAGAAAGUGGGGGAUCUUCGGACCUCACGCUAUCAGAUGAGCCUAGGUCGGAUUAGCUAGUUGGUGGGGUAAAGGCCUACCAAGGCGACGAUCCGUAACUGGUCUGAGAGGAUGAUCAGUCACACUGGAACUGAGACACGGUCCAGACUCCUACGGGAGGCAGCAGUGGGGAAUAUUGGACAAUGGGCGAAAGCCUGAUCCAGCCAUGCCGCGUGUGUGAAGAAGGUCUUCGGAUUGUAAAGCACUUUAAGCUGGGAGGAAGGGCAGUAAGUUAAUACCUUGCUGUUUCGACGUUACCAACAGAAUAAGCACCGGCUAACUGUG
rnacentral:rRNA from 1 species